rnacentral:rRNA from 1 species
UACGUAGGAGACGAGCGUUGUCCGGAGUUACUGGGCGUAAAGGGUGCGCAGGUGGCGGCGCGCGUGGGGGGUGAAAUCGCCCGGCUUAACUGGGCGGGGGCCUUCCAGACGGCGUGGCUUGAGCAGCGGAGGGGGACGUGGAAUUCCGGGUGGAGCGGUGAAAUGCGUAGAUAUCUGGAGGAACACCGGUGGCGAAGGCGGCAUCCUGGACCGAUAUUGACGCUGAUGCGCGAAAGCCAGGGGAGCAAACGGG